GUCGUAACAAGGUAUCCCUACCGGAAGGUGGGGAUGGUUCACCUCCUUUCUA
rnacentral:rRNA from 1 species